UUUCAAGGGCUUAGAAGUAUUCAAGUAUUCAAGUAUUAAUUGGAUCACUAUUGAAAAAGCAGAAUAGGAAAUCUAAUUUUCUCUCUUGUGUUUGAUGGAUUUGUCUUAUGAAAGCUUCAGAACUGUCCUUCCCAGUUCUCAUGUUAUUUCUUUCUGUGAGAUUCCGGGGCCUCCUGCUUUUCUGCGUUUACGUCAAGACCUCUACUUGUCAUUCUGUAAUAAAUAGAGAAUUUCCUGGGCUCUUUUAACUGGAUCUCCUUGUGUCUGUAUAUUGGAAUUUAUUUUCAGCAGACUGAUAUCAUAUGGAAAUGCCAGCUCAGAAGAUGUGGUGAGCUUUGAUAAUUCAGGAAUUGACUGACAGAAGGAGGACCUCAUUUGGGCAGCAUCUGUCAUCUUGGCUUUCUCUGCUGCCCUGAAGGUGCCUGGGGAACACCCACACAUUGUCAAAGAGAAGAGUGCAGAAUCCCAGAGAGGUGGAGCGACUGGCCCAAGGUCACGAGCUCCCGAGUCCAUGCCGGCCUUGAAUCCGGGCCCUUCGGCUGCCGCUUCCCGCACAGUGCGGGCCUCAGGGCCGCCACAGAAGAGUCAGGUGCCAGCCAGUGCUGUGUGCUCUGCGCAGAUGCCUCCUUUGGCCGUGGGGGUCCGGACCUUCCCUCUGCUCCUUUACUGCUUUCUCGCCACACGGGGGCUGGAAGCGAGGAUGCCUUAAACAUUCAAGGCUGUGGAGCAGGCUCAGGCCCUCAGCAUCGUGGAGAAGGCACCGAAGCCCGCAGAAUCCCACUGUCCUGUGGCAGGGAGAAAAGACAAACGGGUCAUAAUGCUGUCUUAGAAGGAGAUCACGGAGGGCUGGAUGUGACCCUUUGCGAGGGACCGGGGACCUUGAGGAGCUGUGAGUUUCCCAGACAGGGUGACACUGGAGCCUUGGAAGGGAGCAGCCUACGGACACCAGAGCUGGGGAGCUAGAGACCCAGUGGGACCCUCAUGCCUCCUUUGGACUAUGGAGCCCAAUGCACCCCUGGGGCCUCGCCGGCCUCGCAGGGAGGUUUCACAAGGACUGUCCCCAAGCCCCUCUCCUGGUGGCCUGUGAUCACAGUCUGAGCAGCCCACGUGUCUGCCCUUCUUUGCCUCCUCCUGCGUCUCCUGCCAUCAGCUCCCAGCCCAAAACUUUCCAGAAUGGAAGUGGGCUUAGCUCAAGCGGCCUGGAGCAUGGAGCCCAUGAUGGGAGAGAAGUCACGUCAAGUCCUGUCUGUGAUGUACACACAGCUGGAUACACAGAGCAAGGCUCAGGGAGUCUGCUGCACCUGAGUUGUUCUUAGAAUCUCAGCUUCUAAAGUGAGACAUUCUCACACCCCACCCCCACAAAGUAGGGGCACUGAAGCCUCUGGGCAGAGCUGUUGAACUAAAUGAGCAAGUUCAUGUAAAACACCUGGAAGGUGGGAGGCUCUCAAUCAAUGGCAGUUGCCACUGAGACCACAGUCUCUUCAUCAGAAGGGUUGGUGGGACGGCUUUGGUGGUCCCAGCCAGCUUGGCUCUCAGUGAACCAAAAGCGUGAAAGCCUCUCUCCCUCCCUUCAGGAAGCUAACCCAGUUUUCAAAUGAAGGAAUGACUCUUCACAUUGUCAUUAAUUUUCCUGAAAAGAUUUUCUUAUAUCCAUUAGCUAUACACUAUAAAUACAUUGGGAUCUUUUGUUUUUCUAGAAAAAAAAAUCAUUUUAGCCUUGUAUUCUGGCACAUUAGAUUGUUCUUUUAUCCUUGCUUUUUAAAAAACCUUUCAAACGGCUUGCCUUCCAUGGAAGAAUAAA
rnacentral:lncRNA from 10 species